rnacentral:rRNA from 1 species
CCCUUAGAUGUUCUGGGCCGCACACGCGCUACACUGAAGGAGGCAGCGUGUACUCCUGGAUCGAAAGAUUUGGGUAACCCGCGAAUCUCCUUCGUGCUAGGGAUUGAGGUUUGCAAUUAUCCUUCAUGAACGAGGAAUUCCCAGUAAGUGCAAGUCAUAAGCUUGCGCUGACUACGUCCCUGCCCUUUGUACACACCGCCCGUCGCUACUACCGAUUGAAUGAUUUAGUGAGGACUUCGGACUGGGACCGAUGCGGCUUUCGGGCUGCGUCGGUAUUCUGGAAAGACGUCCAAACUGUAUCAUUUAGAGGAAGUAAAAGUCGUANCA